rnacentral:rRNA from 1 species
UACGUAGGGUGCAAGCGUUAAUCGGAAUUACUGGGCGUAAAGCGUGCGCAGGCGAUGAUGUAAGUCAGAUGUGAAAUCCCCGGGCUCAACCUGGGAACUGCAUUUGUGACUGCAUCGCUGGAGUGCGGCAGAGGGGGAUGGAAUUCCGCGUGUAGCAGUGAAAUGCGUAGAUAUGCGGAGGAACACCGAUGGCGAAGGCAAUCCCCUGGGCCUGCACUGACGCUCAUGCACGAAAGCGUGGGGAGCAAACAGG